AAUUGGGCAGAAGGAUCCUCCUCGGAUCAUCACCGGUUUUACUGAGCUGAAAGAAGAUUUCUCCAAGAGCUGCAAGAGGUCUUCAUCUCAGCAACAUGCUGCAUAAACUGUCGUCUUCAAAAAUGGUGACAAGCUGACAGCUUCCUUAUAAGAGCCUAACACAUUAGUACUGCUGCCCCAGGGCUGGCAAAGAGCUCCUUUCUGAAGUGCUGCAAAUUAAAACCAGCGUGACUUUGUAAUAUGAGCCAGUGAUGUGUUGGGAAGGAGGCACCUGGCAGUCACAACGUGGAAUGAAGAUGCUCAGUUCAGUGGGAAAAAUGGAUGCUGACUAGAAAUAUGGAGUGAGCUCUUGAUGUGUGCUGUGAACCAUCUGUAUCAAAUCUCCACCUUGCUUUUUUUCUGAGACACAAAUGAAAUCUUGGCCAGUGGGAAGCUGAUUUUUAAGUGAUAAAAAUAGAUGCCUUUUUUUAGCUCAUAAGGCAGCAGGUGGUGUUUAGACCAGUCUGUGUUUUGAAAGGUAUCAGAAAUGAUCUGGCUGGGAGUUUGUACACAGCUUCAACUUCCCUUUUUGUGAACAUCUACUUAAACCAACAUUUUGAGCCUCCCAGCUGUGCCUUCACUCUUCCUCCAUGAUGCCUUUCUGUGGUACAGAGAGCAGAGGCACCAGAAUGUUGAUGUUCUCCACUUUCCCAAAACAACCUUGAAUGAGUUACUGUCUGUGGGAAUGAGACACAAAACAAAGCAUGAGGAUAAAACUACUUGCAAAUGUGCCUGCUAGCUGCCAAAUAGCUGUAGUCAUUCCUUCAGCAUGUGAUCAAUACAAUUUGAGCAAUAACAGGUUAUUGACAGUUCAUUAACAAAUUCUGUUCUGUGUCUUUGUAUAACUUUUCAUUCAUGGACUAAAAUGAUCUUUUAUUGUCUACUGUCUAACCACACGUGUUGGUUCUGUCACAGCUUGCUUGUUCACAGGAGAACAAGCAGUCCAAAGUUGAAAACUCUGUAUUUCUGUAAGUUUACCAGCUUCUCUUCAGAAAUCACUCUAGUUACUGUGAAAAUUACUUUCAGAAAAUCAUUUAUUGGGCUACAGCACUUGUAUGUUCUUUCUUAGCAAAGAAUGUGCAUAACUUUCUACUGGUAGAUCUUAAAAAUGUUUGUCAUAUCAUGUCAACUGCUUCAAGACAUGAGCUGGUGCAGAGCCUAAAAAUAGCUGCUUGAAAAUGAUUGGACUGGCCUAAAGCCAGGCUGGAAUCAAGGAGGAAUAAAUGUGACUUGAAUUCAUUUUUACUCACAUGUGUCCUAAACUCUGAAUAAAGGCUGGAUGAAACUA